GACGAACGCUGGCGGCGUGCUUAACACAUGCAAGUCGAACGGGCCCGCCCCUGUUUUUGGGGGUGGGUUGAGUGGCGAACGGGUGAGUAUCACGUGAGUAACCUGCCCCCUGCUCCUGGAUAACUGCUUGAAAGGGCGGCUAAUACGGGGUGUGCCGGCUGGUCCGCAUGGGCCUGGUCGGGAUAGUUUCAUCUUCGGGUGUUUCGGUGGGGGAUGGGCUCGCGGCCUAUCAGCUUGUUGGUGGGGUGAUGGCCCACCAAGGCGGUGACGGGUAGCCGGCCUGAGAGGGUGGGCGGCCACACUGGGACUGAGACCCGGCCCAGACUCCUGCGGGAGGCAGCAGUGGGGGGUAUUGCACAAUGGGCGGAAGCCUGAUGCAGCGACGUCGCGUGAGGGAUGAAGGCCUUCGGGUUGUGAACCUCUUUCUCCGGUGGUGAAGGCCCUGUCCGUUGCGGCGGGGUUGACGGUAGCCGGGUAUGAAGCGCCGGCUAACUACGUG
rnacentral:rRNA from 1 species